CCAGACUCCUACGGGAGGCAGCAGUGGGGAAUAUUGCACAAUGGGCGGAAGCCUGAUGCAGCAACGCCGCGUGCGGGAUGACGGCCUUCGGGUUGUAAACCGCUUUCAGCAGGGGCGAAGCUUGUGGUGACGGUACCUGCAGAAGAAGCACCGGCUAACUACGUGCCAGCAGCCGCGGUGAUACGUAGGGUGCGAGCGUUGUCCGGAUUUAUUGGGCGUAAAGAGCUCGUAGGUGGUUGAUUGCGUCGGAAGUGAAAACUUGGGGCUUAACCCUGAGCGUGCUUUCGAUACGGGUUGACUUGAGGAAGGUAGGGGAGAAUGGAAUUCCUGGUGGAGCGGUGGAAUGCGCAGAUAUCAGGAGGAACACCAGUGGCGAAGGCGGUUCUCUGGACCUUUCCUGACGCUGAGGAGCGAAAGCGUGGGGAGCGAACAGGCUUAGAUACCCUGGUAGUCCACGCUGUAAACGGUGGGUACUAGGUGUGGGGUCCAUUCCACGGAUUCCGUGCCGUAGCUAACGCAUUAAGUACCCCGCCUGGGGAGUACGGCCGCAAGGCUAAAACUCAAAGGAAUUGACGGGGCCCCGCACAAGCGGCGGAGCAUGCGGAUUAAUUCGAUGCAACGCGAAGAACCUUACCUGGGUUUGACAUGGACUGGGAGUGCUCAGAGAUGGGUAUGCCUCCUUGUGGGGCUGGUUCACAGGUGGUGCAUGGCUGUCGUCAGCUCGUGUCGUGAGAUGUUGGGUUAAGUCCCGCAACGAGCGCAACCCUCGUUCACUGUUGCCAGCACGUUAUGGUGGGGACUCAGUGGAGACCGCCGGGGUCAACUCGGAGGAAGGUGGGGAUGACGUCAAGUCAUCAUGCCCCUUAUGUCCAGGGCUUCACGCAUGCUACAAUGGCCGGUACAAAGAGUUGCGAGCCUGUGAGGGUGAGCGAAUCUCGGAAAGCCGGUCUCAGUUCGGAUUGGGGUCUGCAACUCGACCCCAUGAAGUCGGAGUCGCUAGUAAUCGCAGAUCAGCAACGCUGCGGUGAAUACGUUCCCGGGGCUUGUACACACCGCCCGUCAAGUCAUGAAAGUCGGUAACACCCGAAGCCGGUGGCCUAACCUGUGUGGGGGAGCCGUCGAAGGUGGGACUGGUAAUUAGGACUAAGUCGUAACAAGGUAGCCGUACCGGAAGGUGCGGCUG
rnacentral:rRNA from 1 species